GUAGUCUCGCACAGAUGCAUAUCAAUAAGCGGAGGAAAAGAAACUAACAAGGAUUCCCUCAGUAACGGCGAGUGAAGCGGGAAGAGCUCAAAUUUGAAAUCUUGAAAGGUCACCUUUCACGAAUUGUAGUUUAAAGAAGUGUUUUCUGUUACGAUCGUAAUAUAAGUUCUUUGGAAUAGGACAUCACAGAGGGUGAGAAUCCCGUCUAUGAUUGCGAUUUGUAGCUUUGUGAUACACUUUCAAAGAGUCGGGUUGUUUGGGAAUGCAGCCCAAAACGGGAGGUAAAUUUCUUCUAAGGCUAAAUAUUGGCGAGAGACCGAUAGCGAACAAGUACCGUGAGGGAAAGAUGAAAAGAACUUUGAAAAGAGAGUUAAAUAGUACGUGAAAUUGUCAAAAGGGAAGCGUUUAACACCAGUGUUGUUUUCUGAAAAUCAACCUCUGUUAGCUUUAUGCAUGUUUGUUUAGACCUAAUCAGCUAUCUUGCAUGUUCUAUUGUUUGCAGUGGUGCACUUUUCAGUUUACAGGUCAACAUCAGUUUUUUUUACCGUAAAAAAGUUAAAGAAAGGUAGCUCAUGGCUCCGGUCGUGAGUGUUAUAGUCUUUUUCCUAUGCGGUAGGAGAGACUGAGGUCUAGCAGUGUAGGCUAUUUGGCUAGAUACUCAGGUGCUAUGUGAUACCAUUUCAUAAACAACUUGUUGAUUAUGUUUUGUCUAUUGCAUACUCGCUUGUACUAUCAUACCUACGCUUAGGAUGUUGAGUCGUAGAGCACGCAG
rnacentral:rRNA from 1 species